AAGUCGUAACAAGGUUUCCGUAGGUGAACCUGCGGAAGGAUCAUUGUCGAAUCCUGCAAACGACCGCGAACAAGUUCAUAAACUGACCGGGCGACGGCGAUAGGGGGCGACCCCGUUCGCACGACCCCGGGCCCAACUAAACUCCCGGCGCGGAAAGCGCCAAGGACUACUCAAACGGAUUGCCCGUCUCCCUUGCGAAUUCCGCGGGGGAGGCGUCGGCGUCUGAAACGUAACCAAAACGACUCUCGGCAACGGAUAUCUAGGCUCUC
rnacentral:misc_RNA from 1 species